AUUGAACGCUGGCGGCAUGCCUUACACAUGCAAGUCGAACGGCAGCGCGGACUUCGGUCUGGCGGCGAGUGGCGAACGGGUGAGUAAUAUAUCGGAACGUACCCAGGAGUGGGGAUAACGUAGCGAAAGUUACGCUAAUACCGCAUACGUCCUAAGGGAGAAAGCAGGGGAUCGCAAGACCUUGUGCUCAUGGAGCGGCCGAUAUCUGAUUAGCUAGUUGGUGGGGUAAAAGCCUACCAAGGCAACGAUCAGUAGCUGGUCUGAGAGGACGACCAGCCACACUGGAACUGAGACACGGUCCAGACUCCUACGGGAGGCAGCAGUGGGAAUUUUGGACAAUGGGGGGCAACCCGUGAGUCCAGCAAUGCCGCGUGAGUGAAGAAGG
rnacentral:rRNA from 1 species